rnacentral:rRNA from 1 species
UACGUAGGGUCCGAGCGUUGUCCGGAAUACUGGGCGUAAAGAGCUCGUAGGUGGUUUGUCGCGUUGUUCGUGAAAACUCACAGCUCAACUGUGGGCGUGCGGGCGAUACGGGGCAGACUGGAGUACGUGCAGGGGAGACUGGGAAUUCCUGGUGUAGCGGUGAAAUGCGUAGAUAUCUGGAGGAACACCGGUGGCGAAGGCGGCAUCCUGGACCGAUACUGACGCUGAGGAGCGAAAGCCAGGGGAGCAAACGGG